GUGAGAUGAAUCAUCGCAUCGAUCUGAUUCUCUCGCAUAAAAAAUCGCGGGAGAGGCACAAGAUGAGAAAAAAAUAUUUGAAAACUUUGUUACGAUUUUACCAAGCCUAUUCCUGAAACCGAGCAUAGAUGACGUCAUAAUUCAUAUGAUCAGUCAAAUAGUUUUACAUUUAAUGAAUGGAUCCGGGAAGAAUUGAUAGCUAAACAUGAGUCUAUUAUUGAUUAAAAAAUCUACACAAGAAAGAGCAUUUUG